AGGUGUUCUGCACUGUUUACAGUGAAAACAAGUAUAUUCAGAGGAUGGGAAAAACAGAUGGGGGUGAGGGUUUCCUUGCUUUCUCUCUUUUGGGAAUCAAGCUGAGAACUUGAAGAGUAAUCCAAUUAACUACACUCUUGAGACAUAAACUAGGGAAUAAGAGACAAGUACAGGCAGGUCCCAGCAGGACAGGAAGCCAAGAAGGUGUGAUGAGCACAUCAGAGGAUAGAACAGUAGAAGACUGCAAAGUUAAACACCACCACUUGUGGACCUUCUCUGCAUUGGGACCCUCUUCUUACAGACUGUACUCACAUAAAGCAUCUUCCUUCUUCUUUUUUGCUCCUUCUUGAAAAGAAACACACAUGCAUGGAUGCAAGGAGUCUGUAUGGAUGAACAUGAACAAGGGGCUCCUGACAAAACCCAAACACAAGAAUGUAGUUUAGCAGAGGUGGAAGCAAGAACAGGCAAUCUAGAGGAAUAAUAUAGAAAUAUUGUCUGAACGGAGAUGGAUAUUCUAAUAGUCUCAGCUUUAGUUAAGUCUUUAGACAUUAUCUCCCACAACAGUGUCAUAGGCAAGCUGAUGGAGUACAGACUAAACAAGUGUACAGCAAGGUGUACUGAGCAUUAGCUGAACUGUCAGUCUCACAGGGUUGGGAUCAGCAGCAUGGAGUCCAGCUGUGGGCCUGUCAACAGCAAUACAUCUCAGGAGUCACUGCUGGAGCCAGUGCUGUUCAACUUCUUCAUUACUGACCUGGAUGAGGGAAUGGGACCCUCAGCAAGUUCACAGAUGUUCCAAGAGUUAGAGUUGUUGAUACACCAUCACUCCUGGAUGACCUCAGUGGAUUGAAGAAAUAGUCAGGCAUGAACCGUAUCAAGUUCAACAAAGGGGAGAGCGAAGUCCUGUACCUGGGGAGAACCAACCCCAUGCACCAGCUCGUGCUGAGGGAUGACUUUGCAGAAAGCACCUGGGAGUCCUGAUGGACAAGGUGGUUGUAAGCCAGCAAUGUGCCCUUAUCAUAAAGGGCAAAAGCAUCUUGGACAGCACUGGAAAUAGCACUGCCAGCAGAAUGAGCGGGGUCUUCUUUACCUCAUGGGAUCAGACUUGCUGAAAGAAAAUCACACAUGACAUAAUUUGCACUUUCUAUUUCCCCUCAGGAACUUUAUUGGAAUUGUGACAAGGUGGAAGUACUGCCCUCUAGUUUUUCAGUCAUCUCCUCUGUCCUUCAUGGUCAUGAGUCUUCAGUAGGCAGACGCUGGAGGUGAUACAGAUGAUGCAGAAGUGAGAGUCCCCAGAAGAACAGUAUGACUCUCCACUGCAAAUGAGUUGUGUUUUACCAGAUAUGAAAGUUCAGUGAUCAUCAAGAUCAUUUCUGCCUUUUCUUCAGUAUGGCUUGGCAGUGCCUUCUCAUGUUUUCUUUCCUGCUUUGCUUUCAACAUUCAAAAACUGAAGAAGUUAGAGAACUGUAGCACUUUUCUUCUGUGCCCUAAAAUAAAAUAUUAACCUCAAAGAAUACUUGAGGAAUGUUCAGCUCUAAGGAGGCUUAGAUUAGAUGUUCUGCUAUUUUUUAUUUAUAGCAUAUGUUCCUAGUGGCUGGAGAUUCCCUUUUGAAAAAUAAAAUGAGGACAUGGAAAGAUUUUCUCACCACAGGUAUUGCACUUAUUCCCUCCCAUAAAUGCAAACUUGUGAACCUGCUGUGAGCUUCUUUAUUCUAAAUAUUUAUAUUUGCAGACUAAAAUGACAGGUAGUAGAAUAAAUUUUAGCAUCCCAAUGAUUUUUUUUCUGGAUUUGUUGCUGCUCCUCUGGAAUAUGGCAGAGCCACCAAUAUUCUUGUAGUGUACAGAGCUGUUUGAGUAUUUAAUUUUAUACUGGAACAUACAGGUUUGCAUUUCAGGUGCUACUUUUUAUGACUAUUGCAUACAAUAGCCAAUGCAGAAUAGAAAUUACAAAAUUCUGCCAAAAAAACCCCCAAAAAAGGCAAGAAGCUGGCAGAAUAAAUUCAAGACAAAUUUAUCUCUUCUAAGAAGCAAAAAGCACCAUUUACCCUAAAAACCACUCUGAUAUUGUUGUGUAUGCUGAUAAGAAGUUGCUGAGUUUUAAAUAAACAGAAUUCAACCAUUUACAUAGGCAGACCUUCAGGUGCAAGCUUCAUUUUGCCACAAGAUGAAUUAACACAGAGACUGGGCAUUAGAAAAUCUCAAAAAAGUUAUGAGAUCAUCAAGUUCAGUUGGUAAGAAAUACUACACCAAAAAUGGCAUUUUUUCUUUUCUUCAUCUUCCUUUUUCAUCUACUGAAAAACGCUUUUUCCUUGGGAUCGCCUCUGUUACCUGAUGGUAUUGUCGAUGUUACCAGCAUAAACACCCCCUUUGUUUUUUUUAAUUUCAAGAUGAAAAAGUAGUCUGUCCUGAAAAAGAGGCUUAAAUUCACCACUAACCUAUCUACUAGCACUAGAUCCUGAGCUAUCAUCCUUACUAUAGUAAAGAAAGAGGGUGGGUUGCUGUCAGUUGGAGUGAGUACACAAAAUUAGGUGCUCUCACCAAAAAAGAUAUUAAAAUCUUUGCCUAAGAAACACUUGGCUCAUAGGAAGAAUUCUUAACUCUCAUACCAAGACCUAUAGUCAUGAAGGUUUUUAAGCAAGUGGUACUACCAUAAAAUUCUUUGCUGUCCCCUUCUUUCAUAGAUAGCUUCAUAAAUACUACAUUUAAUUUUUUUCUUUUUAAUUUUAAAUGUACAUUUGAAAAUGGUAAUGAAUCAGCAUGCUGUAUUUUCCUUCUCGUGCAUGAAAAUGUCCAUGACUCUGUGGAAAUUCAGAUAAUACAAGUCACAGAAAACUUGUUAUUAAGAAAUUAGUCAGAAACAUAGGAAAAAGUCUUUCAGAAAAAGACUGAUACUCCUCUGUCUGAAUUCUUCCCUCUCCAAAAAAUAUGACAUACUCAAAUGCUCAUUAACAGAAAAGAAAGACUAUACUGACCAAAGUAGGAACAGAGGUGGAAGCAAGAUCUCACUGAAACAUAUUUGCAUUUGAAACUCUUGAUGAUGACUGAGAUUUAUGCAUCUAAAUUACAAUUAAAUAAUGUUAAGGUUGUGAGUAACUCACAAGAGCAAAGAAAUGUGCAAUUAAAGGGAAAAUAUACCAUAUGUCCUUUGAUAUCUAGGCAUAUUGCAGUGCAUUAAGGAAGUCAUAAAAGAGACACCCUGUUGUGGUUAUGUGUUCUGAGACAUGUGGCACAUUUCCAUUGUA